rnacentral:lncRNA from 1 species
CCUCUGAGAUGACUCGGGGACAGUGCUGGAGGAGCUGGAGGUCUGCGUUUACUAGCACCCAGAGGGUGCUCUGCACACAGUGGCUCUGAUUUAUGAAAUGGGGCUGUGGGUGGGCUGCGUAAGUGGACUAGUGGUUGGUUGAUGUUAUGGAUGGGCAGUUAGGGGUCCCGCGGGCAGGUUGGAAUUGUGCUGAGGAGCUGACUGGGUGCCGAGUGGGCUGGCCAGCAGUUGGGUUGGUAGGCUGGGCAUCAGAGAGAGAUAGGCCUGGUGAAGGCUGAGUGGGUGUGGGCCAGAGAUGCCCUAAGUAGGGUGUUCACUUGGGUAGCCAGAUGGGAAGCACACACCCCAGGCUGUAGCUGAGCAGGGACUCUGGCUGAUGAGCAUCCUCACCAGGGUGCACAUGGCUGAUAUCCAGCUGCUCGUGAGAACCUGUCAGGAUGUCGGGAUGAGGAAAAGGGAGCGCUCAGAGCUGGAUGCCUCACAAACAAUGUGCCAGGCGCCCUGCCAAGCGCUUUCCAUGCCUUCCCUGUCUCAG